GUUAAAACAAUUGGAUAACUACUAAAACACUUGAUUUAAUAUAAAGAGAUGUACAUGAUAAAUACAUACACAUGCACACGCACAUAUAUAGUUGAAGAAAAAUGUUACUCGUGAACUACAAUAAUGAACAUCCGGUAGGAACCCUAUAAUUUAGUGUCAUAAAUGCGUGAGCGUUUACUACGGAGUAUAGUAAUAAUCCAACAUUUGUUUAGAUUGUAAAUGAGACAAGAUAAAAUAAAUAGUACGAUGAAAAUUCUAUGGACUGUGAUGAGUAGCAUGAAAUGAAGCUCACAUAAAGUCUCCUCAAUAGUUGCGCCUACGCGCUAUGAUAAUCCCAAAUGAACCUGUCAGAUCCUGCACAUUUAGUGCAGAAGUACAGCAUGAAU
rnacentral:lncRNA from 1 species